AAUUGCCUUAGAGGGAUACAGUAACGAUGCUAAUCCCAUAUGCUUCGAGUGAAUGGAUUUAUAUUUAUCCGCCUAGAGAGAAGCUCGCGGCUGAUUAGCUUGUUGGUAAGGUAAGAGCUUACCAAGGCGACGAUCAGUAUCUGGUUUGAGAGGACGAUCGGACACACUGGNACUGAGACACGGCCCAGACUCCUACGGGAGGCAGCAGUGGGGAAUUUUCCGCAAUGGGCGAAAGCCUGACGGAGCAAUACCGCGUGAGGGAAGACUGCCUAUGGGUUGUAAACCUCUUUUUUCAGGGAGGAAUCAAUGACGUGUACCUGAAGAAUAAG
rnacentral:rRNA from 1 species